UACAGAGGUCUCAAGCGUUGUUCGGAUUCAUUGGGCGUAAAGGGUGCGUAGGCGGCGGGGCAAGUCUGAUGUGAAAUCCCGGGGCUCAACCCCGGAACUGCAUUGGAUACUGCCUUGCUUGAGUACUGGAGAGGGAACUGGAAUUUACGGUGUAGCAGUGAAAUGCGUAGAGAUCGUAAGGAAGGCCAGUGGCGAAGGCGAGUUCCUGGACAGUUACUGACGCUGAGACGCGAAAGCGUGGGGAGCAAACAGG
rnacentral:rRNA from 1 species